rnacentral:rRNA from 1 species
GAAUGGCAUAACGAGGGUUUAACUGUCUCCCUCCCCUAGUCAAUGAAAUUGAUCUGCCCGUGCAGAAGCGGGCAUAAAUACAUAAGACGAGAAGACCCUAUGGAGCUUUAGACAAAAGAUCAAACAUGUAAAGAAACCAAACUAACCAAAAGGAACACAAAGGCCACUAAACCCAACGUAAAAUGAUCCAAAUGUCUUCGGUUGGGGCGACCAUGGGGGAAAGAAAAGCCCCCACGAGGAACUAGGGGCAAUCCAUUAAGUCAAGAGAUACACCUCUAAGCAACAGAAAAUCUGACCAAAAAUGACCCAGGACACUAAUCCUGAUCAACGAACCAAGUUACCCUAGGGAUAACAGCGCAAUCCUUUCCCAGAGUCCAUAUCGACGAAAGGGUUUACGACCUCGAUGUUGGAUCAGGACAUCCUAAUGGUG